GUCCAAAUGACCUUCAGUGGUAUGGGGUGCAGGUUUCAAACCCAUAGCUGUCUAGUUAUAGAGUGGUUCAAUUCCAUCGUUUGGGCG